AGCCGCGGUAGACGAGGGUCAGGCAGGAUCACGCUUCGUCCCUCACGCAAAAAAUGUUAUGCAAGAGCCAAGAUCGGAUCAGUAAGGUUAAUAAAAUACUAAUACCUAAUGCAGAAUAAUGGAGACAACAUUGGUUCCCCAAUUGAAGAUGGAACUUGCAAACUGCCUAUCCCCAAAUCCUGGGGCCUGCUGCAUGGCAAAUUACUGCUCUGUCCGUCCACUUCCACUGUGAGGGGAGAAGCCACCUACCUCAUCAGUGCUGUUAUGAAGAAUAAAGAAGCUGAUGUUUGCAAAGCCCUUAGAACACAUCUGGCACUAGUAAGUGACACAGAAACCCUUGUUAAAUAAGUUUAAAUAAAAAACAAGUUUCCAAUU